UACGUAGGUGGCAAGCGUUGUCCGGAUUUACUGGGCGUAAAGAGCGCGCAGGCGGUCGUUCAAGUCGCGUGUGAAAUCCCCCGGCUCAACCGGGGAACGGCUGGGCAUACUGGCGGUCUUGAGCCACCUAGGGGCGAGCGGAACAAGCGGUGGAGCGGUGAAAUGCGUAGAUAUCGCUUGGAACGCCGACGGUGAAAACAGCUCGCUGGGGGUGUGCUGACGCUGAGACACGAAAGCCAGGGGAGCGAACGGG
rnacentral:rRNA from 1 species